UUUAUCAAACAGCAGCAGCGGCAGUGCCAGUGGCGACAAAAUCCCAAGAUUGUGGCGGGAAUGGAAAUCACAAGCAUUCAUCCAUCAAGCCACAGAUGACUUGGAGACAGAGACAUUGCACCGGCAGCAGCAGUAGCGACAGCAUUGUGAUCUCGAGGAGCAAGAGCAGGGAAGGAAGAGCUUCUUAUGCUGACCACAUCACAGCUAUCAUGUGAUUUAGGAGACCUCAAUGAACUGAUCCGUGCUGGUUCAGGUGAGGAGAUGCCUGAGUGGGUGGAGGAGAUGGAGAGGAACCUGUGUCGCCAUGAGGAGUUGCCAGAUGACACGAGGGUACGUCACAG